GCUAGCGGAAGGCUUAAUACAUGCAAGUCGAGCGGUAGAUGGCUUCGGCCAUUGAGAGCGGCGCACGGGUGAGUAACGCGUACAUGACCUGCCUGUCAGAAGGGGAUAGCCCUGGGAAACUGGGAUUAAUACCCUAUGGUAUUGAUAUUAUGAAUGAUAUCAAUUAAAGUUGAGGCGCUGACAGAUGGAUGUGCGUCUGAUUAGCUAGUUGGUAGGGUAACGGCCUACCAAGGCGACGAUCAGUAGGGGGCGUGAGAGCGUGGUCCCCCACACGGGUACUGAGACACGGACCCGACUCCUACGGGAGGCAGCAGUAAGGAAUAUUGGUCAAUGCCCGCAAGGGUGAACCAGCCAUUCCGCGUGGAGGAUGAAGGCCCUAUGGGUUGUAAACUUCUUUUAGAUGGGAAGAAAAUGCUAGAUGUAUCUGGUACUGACGGUACCAUCAGAAUAAGCACCGGCUAACUCCGUGCCAGCAGCCGCGGUAAUACGGAGGGUGCGAGCGUUAUCCGGAAUUACUGGGUUUAAAGGGUGCGUAGGCGGAUGAUUAAGUCUAAGGUGAAAGUUUGUCGCUUAACGAUAAAAUUGCCUUGGAUACUGGUUAUCUUGAAUAAGGAUGAGGAUGGCGGAAUGUGGCAUGUAGCGGUGAAAUGCAUAGAUAUGCCAUAGAACACCAAUUGCGAAGGCAGCUAUCUGGUCUUUUAUUGACGCUGAGGCACGAAAGCGUGGGGAUCGAACAGGAUUAGAUACCCUGGUAGUCCACGCCCUAAACGAUGCUAACUCGAUGUUUGGUUUUAAUAAUUGAGCAUCAAAGCGAAAGCGAUAAGUUAGCCACCUGGGAAGUACGACCGCAAGGUUGAAACUCAAACGAAUUGACGG
rnacentral:rRNA from 1 species